CAAGCACCCAGGUGUCUCGGACUUUGGGAAAUCUCUUACUGGUGGCCAUCAACAGAGCGCAGGAAACGCGAGAGAAGAGGCAGCUAGAGACGCAGGAGAACUCACAGCCUGACUAUCUGCCUCACUUUUCAAUACCUUCCUAAAGUUCAUCCACAAAACAAGCCUGGGAAAGUGCAUGACGCGGGAAAAAAGGCAGAAGCAAUCACCCACCAACAGCAGCCAAGUGACAGGAGCAAUAAAUACAGCGGACAGUCCGCACGAGGAAGGCUCCUUCUCCUCCGGACUCUGCGGCUCCCUCGGGAUCCGGGCCAGAGAGACCCGGGAAGAGGGGUCCACGGCGGGGGAGGCAGGGUCGGGACCCCAGAGGGAAGAGCGGAAGCCGAGCUCAGGUGGCAGGGCGAGCAUUAACUCCACAGAGGGGACCCCGCAGCCACAGCGCCGCGCACCCGCUCCUCCGUCAGCUCCCACGCGGCUGGGAAGGGCGGGGGCGCGGACGCGCGGGACGACCCCGCCCCAGACCGCGGGUGCCCACAGGCCACGCCCCCGCCACGCCCCCGGCGCUUUCCCGCCCGCCGCAGGCCCCGCCCACCACCCGGUGCCCUCAGCCCUCAGGAAGGCGAGGCCCCUGCGCCCGAGGGCGCCGUCGAUGACCCCCAGCCCGGCCUGCAGGCCGCCGAGGGGGCUGCUGCGGACCCCGCUGAAGAAAACGGAGCUGUGGACAAUGGAGGACCCGCGCCAGGGCGGGACAGCGGUGCGGGGUCACGUGAGGGCCGCCUUCCGGAACCGGAGUCAGAGGAGAAGACAGGGAAACGGGACGCGGGGCGGACCGCGCCCAGGGACGGGGUUCCAGGAGGACGGGCGCCGGCCCCAGGCUCUGGACGCGCUCCUCGGAGGGGAGGGGGAUGCGGGAGCCGCGCCCACAGCUCCCGGGAGGGCGGGAAGGGCCGGGCCCUGGAGGAGGCCGCGGGGCUGCCGAGCCCGGGCGGCAGGGGGCGCUCUCCGGGACCACAGCCUCCUGUUUUCAACUAGUUUUAUUCUUACCAUUGUGUUUAUUUAUUCGAGAGAGAAUUACAGAGAGGGGAGAGACGAGGGUCUUCCGUCCUCUCGUUCGCUCUCCAAGUGGCCACAACAAGGGGUCUCCCAGGCAGGAGCAGGGCCCAAGCCCUCGGGCCACCUUCCACGGCUUCCCCAGGCCAUUAGGAGAGAGCCAGACGAAGAGGGGCAGCCAGGACGGAACCAGCGCCCACGGGGGAAGCCGGCCCUGCAGCCAGAGGCUUAGCCCACCAGGACACAGCAGAGGACUGACCGCGGCGUUUCUGGUGCUGUGCAGAGAAACUGACUUGAAACUUACCAGUCUCCAGGAGCUAGAAUCCGCUGUUUUUCUCUUAGAGAGAGGAGGCCUUGCCUCCUGCGUGCGGGCUUGUAGUUUAUAACUGUGGCCGGCAGAAGUCUCUGAGGUCUGAAGUGCAGGUAAGGAAGUGAGGUUUAGGUGGCUGCAGGUCAUCCCGCACUGUCUAGGGUUAGAGGCUCUGGAGCUGGCGCGGUCACACUAAGGGAGGAGCCCAGGAGUGCAGCGUGGGGCGACAGGGCGUGCACAGAAGGGCAGGGUUGUGGGGGCGCUGUGGCACCCACAUGGGAGACCCAGAUGAAGCUCUUGGCUCCUGAUUUCAGCCUGCCCAGCCCUUGCCAUUGUGGCUAUUUUGGAAGUUAACAGGCCAAUAGAGGGUCAGUCUCUCUUUUCCUUUGCCUCUCUCUCUCUCUCUCACUCCCCUUCCCCCUCCCCAACGUUCCAAUAAAUAAAUAAAAUAAAUCCUUUAACAAAGAGAGAAAGAAAAUCAAUGGUAAAAUCAAGAAAUCAAUGGCAAAGGACAAAAUACCCAGCCCCACUUAUGAAAUUCAUAUACAUUUCUUCAGGGAGAGUUUUUCACACCUUUGUCAAACUAACUGGGAUGUAGGUGCAUGAAUUUCUAUGGAUUCUCUUUAGUUCCAUUGUCGUAUAUGUCUAUUGCUAUGUUGGUACCAUACCGUUUUGGUCUCAAUAGCUUUGUGGCACAUCUUGAAAUUUUGCAUGGUGAUGCCUUUAGCUUUGGCUUCAUUGUGUUAAGAAUACUUUCAGUAUUCUGAGACUUUUGGUUUUUUGGUUUUCAUAAGAAUUUUAAGAUUUUUUUUCUAAUUCUGUGAGGAUGUCAUCAGAAUUUUGAUGGGGACUAUAUUGAAUCUCUAAAUUGUCUUGGGUAGUUCUGACAUUUUAAUAAUAUUAAUACUUCCAAAUCAAGAGCAUACGAGGAAAUUUCAUUAUAUUGUGUCUGCUUUAAUUUCUAUCAUUAAAUUCAAUUGCUUUUAAAUUUCCAUUGAAGAAGUCUUUAACAUCUGGUUGAACUUAUCACAAGGUAUUUAAUUUUUUUGAGCUGUUGAGAAUUGGAUAGCACUUAUCAAAUCUCAUCAAGAUAGUUGUGAGUAUAUAAUAAGGCCAUUGAUUUUGGAAUUCACAAACUGUGUAGCUAAUAAAGAAUUAAUAAUCCAGAACAUAUAAGGAAUAAAAAAAACUUCACCUGUCAGGUAGAUGCCUCACAUCAGAAGUUUGGAAUUUACCUGGUUCAUGAAAGUGAGAUGUAAGUGAGGUGUUGAAGGCAUUUGUUGAGUGUGGAUGCUUUCUAUGAUUCCCUCCAUCUGUGGACUCUGACAUUAAACAAACUGCUUAUCUGCCCCCAGUGUGCAGUGGACAUGGGGUGACAGUGACAGUGGCUCUAAUUCAGCAAGGGUAGAAAUGGAGGCUACAAGGAAGUCAUGCAUCCAAAAGUUUUCAAGUUGAGAUGGGCAAAUCCAACAGGACUUCCUGGGAUAGGUUUCAGGGCCGAGGACUAAUCCUCUGUGACAUGGGCCUUGCCUCUGGGUCUCAGUCUGCGAUACUUCCAUUUUCAUUUGAGCCAGUAAUCGUCCUUUUUUCUCACACUCCUCUGAUGUUUGCCUUCUUCCUGAUGUCAGCAGCUGGUUGUUUUGCACAUACACCUUACCUGAGUCAGUCUGCCAAUGCCCCGUGCUUGGCUCUGACCACUUUCUACCAGAGGCUGUUCUCACAAUCUCAGGCACCUCUGGAAAAUCUUUAUUGACCUGAUUUGCAUAGUUCAUGGUGGUUUUUAAUUUUUUUAUCUUGACACUAGCAGGACAGCCUAGUAGAAAAGCUAGGUCUACAGGGGCCCAGAAGGAAUCUCUACUCUCCCUGGCUCCAGGAGAAAAAAAGAAUAGCAUGGAUCUCCAUACAGAAAUGACCUCCAUGAGGUCUGACACUCUCCAGCAUUGCAGCAGAGGAGAAAGCGUGAGGGAGAAUUCCGGAGGUGAGGGCUCCACAGGACAGGCAGGGCUAUGUUAAACUUGAGUGUUCUCUCUCAAAUUCUAUCACCCAGUGAUUGAAAACAGAGAAUAAAUAAUGGCAGAAAAGAAUUGUGAGAAAAGAUGUGUCCAAGGAAGGACCUUCUUACUUUUGUUUGUUUUUUGCAGCAGAAAUUCCAAUGCUUUAUGCAAAGUUCACAAAACCCAGCCAUGCAUUCCUGGAAGACAAGAGCCAAGCCUGGGACAGGGAAACUGGAGGUCAAAGCUCAUGGGGUGGCCCUACUACCAUCAGGUGCUGUGGUGCUGAGACAACCUCUUAGUCUCUAUGGGCCUCAGGUUCCAAAUCAGAGAGGUCUGGAGCUGAAACCACAUCCUGAGAUCCCAGAACUGAAGGUGCAGAUGAAGGAAGAGGAGCAGCUCUCUGGGACAUGAGAAUGACCCAGAGAAUGGCAAGAUUCCUGAAACUCAUCUCUGCUCUCUCGUAUUGCUUGAUGGUUCUUUUAUACUGCCUUGUAGCAACACUGCAUACAUAGAAUGUAAGUCGCCCCUCUUCCAUUGGUAGUCAUCUGUGAUCUCUUUGAUUCAAUAGUAUAAUUAAAGCUGCUAUACACAAUUUCUUUUGUUGCAAAAGAGAAGGUUUCAUUCUUUUUUACUGCUUAGUAGUAUUCCAAAGUGUAUAUAAACCACAUUUUCGUUAUCCAGUGGUGGGUUCAUGGACAUCUGGGCUUACUGCAUAUCUUGGCUAUUGUGAAUUGAGCUACAAUAAAUACAGGGUACAGAAAAAUCUUUCUUUUUUUUUUUGAAAGAUUUAUUUAUUUAUUUGAAAGUCAGAUUUACACAGAGAGAGGAGAGGCAGAGAGAGAGAGAGAGGGAGAGAGAGAGAGAGAGGCCUUCUGUCCAUCAGUUCACUGCCCAAACGGCCGCAAUGGCCGGAGCUGCCCAUAUCCGAAGCUAGGAGCCAGGAGCUUCUUAUGGGUUUCCCACGCGGGUGCAGGGGCCCAAAGACUUGGGCCAUCUUCUACUGCUUUCCCAGGCCACAGCAGAGAGCUGGAUCAGAAAUGGAGCAGCCAGGACUUGAACUGGCACCCAUACGGGAUGGUGGCACUUCAGGCCAGGGUGUUAACCCAAUGCGCCACAGUGAUGGCCCCCAGAAAACUCUUUGAUACACUGCUUUCAUUUCAUUUUGGACAGUUCCCAGGAGUGAGAUGGCUGGCUGGGUCAUAGGGUAGGUCUUUUCAGAUUCUGGAGGAAUCUCCACACUGUCUUCCAUUAUGGGUGUACUAGUUAACAUUCCCACCAACACUGUAUUAGGGUAUUUUUUCCCUGCAUCUUCCCAGCAUUUGUUGUAUUAUGGUUUUGGAUGAUAGCCAUUCUAAGUGAGAUGAAACCUGAUUGUGGUUUUUAUUUGCAUUUCUCUGUUGGCUAGUAAUCCUGAGCACUUUUUCACAUGUCUGUUGGCCCUUUGAAUGACAGCUUUCGAAAGAUGCCUGUUGGGGUGGCUCUGUGGUGUGGCAGGCAAAGCUGCUGCCUGCAGUGCCAGCAUCCCAUAUGGGUGCUGGUUCAUGUCCCGGCCGCUCCUCUUACAAUCCAGUCCUUCACGAUAUCCUGGGAAAGUAGUAGAAGUAUGUCCAAGUCCUUGAGCCCCUGCACCCAUGUUGGAGACCCGGAGGAAGCUCCUGGCUCCUGGCUUCAGAUCUGCUUCAGAUCAACAGCUCUGGCUGUUGUGCCCAUUUGGGGAGUGAACCAGCAGAUGGAAGACACCUCUCUCUCUCUCUCUCUCUCUCUCUCCCCCUCCCUCUCUUCCUCUCUCCCUCUCUCUGCCUCUCCUUCUCUUUCUGUGUAACUCUUUCAAAUAAAUAAAUAUAUCUUAAAAAAAUAGAUGCCUACUUAAGCCCUAUGCCCAUUUCUUAACUGGAUAAUUUCUUUUGUUGUUGUUUAGUUCCUUGAGGUCAUUACAGAUUCCAGAUAUUAAUCCUUCAUCAGUUGCACAGUUUGCAGCUAUUUUCUCCUGUUCUGUCUGUUGCCGCUUCACUUUGUGGAGUGUUUCCUUUGCACUGCAGAAGCUCUUAGCUUGAAGCAAUCCCAUUUACAUAGUUUUGCUUGUAUUGCCUGUGCUUCCAAGAAGGCUUUGCCUAUGCCAACCUCGUGCAAAGCUUCCCCAAAGUUUUUCUCUAAUAAUUGAUGGUCUCAAGUCAUGGGUUUAGAUCCUUGGUUCAUUUAGAGUUGACUUUUUCAUAAGGUGUCAGGUCGGGGUCUUGUUUGGUCCUCCUGCCUGCAGAGGUCCAAUUUCACCAGCACCACUUGUUGAAGAGACUGUCUCUUUGGGGAUUGGUUUUAGCUCCUUUGUCAAAGGUUGUAGAUGCAUGCAUUGGUUUCUGAGAUUUCUAUUCUGUUCCGUUGGUCUACAUGUCUAUUUUUGUGCCAGUAUCAGGCAGCUUUGAUUAUAACUGCUGUCUAGUACGUCUUCAAAUCACAGAUUUGAGGAGUUUUCACUUAUACCUUUUUAAAUAAUAUUUCUGUCCCUUUCCCUUUCUCAUAUUUUUCUUUAACAUGUAUAAAUGUUCUUUAACAUGUAUAAUACAUGUUACUAACAUGUAUAAUACAUGUUACUAACAUGUAUAAUACAUUUACUAAUGCUGUCAAAUUGCACAUCAGCUGUUCUUCAUUCCUAUUGGGAUUUUUUUUCUUUUCUCCUCUGAUUGCCUGUUUUCAAAAGAACUGUUUUCCCAGUUCAUACAUUUUCUUUACUGUGAUCUAUUCCACUGUUGAUAUUCUCUGCUGCAGUUUUUCAUUUUACUUAUAGUUCUUUUCAAUGACGGUAUUUCUAUAUGUUUUAUGAUUUCAAUUUCUCUGGUUAAAUUUACUUUUCGGAUAAUCUUAUGUUUUCCUGAUAUCAGUAAAUGAUUCUCUGUAUUUUGUUUAAAUUCCCAGAGCAUAUUAAUUAUUUUUGAAUUCUAUAACAGCUAGUUUGUGAACAUCCCUCUCUUUGGGGUCACAAGCUGGGAAAUUAUAUUCUUUGGGUGGUAAAGUUUCUCCUCCCUUUGUGCCUUAUAGGGACGUUGAUACAUUCGGAGGAGCAGGUGCCUCUUCCUGUCCUACAUACUGGUCAUGGUGGAAAAAUCUGCUAAGAUACAGGGGAAAGCCCCACUCAGGGUGUAGUGCAGCAGGGCUGGCACUGGUCAGGGCGCAGCACCCAGUUGCUAAGCAGCUCUAUGAGUUCAUGUCAGUGUUGAGCAAAAAUGCGUGGGUCUUCAGGGACCAACACUGCGCCUGUCCCGAGUGCCUUUGAGAGUUGUGAGGUCUGGAGUCCCACUGCCUGCAAGGGUCCUGGCAGUGUUUCAGCUUUGCAGACCUCACUCAGCAAUGGCACUGGUGUCUGAUGAGUGGCACUCUUAGAGGAGCCACAGGGCUGAGGUAUGUAACAUGGGCACAGCUGAAGAAACCACAUCUCUCUCUGAGGUUCAAGGACAUAAUGGUUCCGAUGCCUAGGGCACACGUACUCACACUUUCAAUUUAGCAGUGGUCUGAGUUGAUAGAGCAUCCUGUGAAGCAGCCAGGGAGGAGGGAUGCGACCUCGAGAGUGUGCAGAGCUACAGUGGCUCAGGAGGCAGGGUCAUCCAAAUCUCUUUGCAUCUGAGCCAGCAGCUCAGACAAACAAACAGACAAACCUUGGAUCCAGAGCCCAGGGAAAUCCUACCCUCCAUGGUGGAGGCUCUGGUGUUUGAGGUAUGGGUGCAAGUUUGGAGUCAGGACCAGUGAAGGUACUAGCUGUCAGUGUCAGCUGAGCUGCACUCUGAAGUGUGGGAACACGUAGGGAGUCUAGGAUUUGGGGCCAUGAUGUGAAGUAUCUCUCUAUGACCAUGGCUCCCACGUAUUGGUGUGGCACGAUGCUGUUUAGCCACAGAAUUGGAAUAUAAGUGUGAGCAUUAGUGGAGAAUCAAAGACUCAGGGUCAGGGACAUAUGCAGGUUGGAGUGAUACAGCGGUGACUGCUUCUUGAUGGGCAUUGUCCGUGGCAACACUUCCUGCUCUGGAUCUCCCAUCAGGAAUGACUGUUGGUUUCCUCCAUGCGUAGGAUGCCAGUGUCUUGUGCAGGGCAGCGCCCCAGUGGUUCCUGCCAGGUGACUGCUACUUACACCCUCAAUCUUCUCUCUGUGUUCUCGGCCAUCUCGUGGCACCUCUGACAGGCAGUCUUACCAGAGGUCCUUCCGGGUGGAGAUUCUCCAUGAAUUUUCCCUCUGUGUUGCUGCACAUUCUUCCAGGGGCCUCAGGCAAUGUUGGUUUUUGAUCCCUGUCUACUUUUUAGAAAGGAAACUUGGGAAAGGCAAGGACCAAUUUUUUUUUUCUACUCUGCCAUCUUGAUCAGGAAUGAUCUUGGUAUUCACGAGAAAAAGUUCAGCGGAACAUACAAAUUUUGGAAUGUUUGUGUUAUUAUUCAAGUAAAUGUACAUAUAAAAUUAAUCAUUUUACUUGUACAAUUCAUUGAUAUGUGUACAUUUAGAGGUUAUGUAAUCACCAUUUCCAUCUAAUUCCAAAAUAUUUUCGUCACUCCUGUAGGAAGUUCCAUAUACAUUAAAGCAUUUUCACCCCAUCUCCUCUCCUCCAAUUAUUCCUAUCCAAGUUUAUACCCAAAAUAAUAAAAAUAUCAACUCAUACAAAGACAAAUCCACAAAUAUUCACAGCAGAGCUACUCACAAGAGAAAGAGCUGGAAACAAUUAAAAAAAGAUGUGUCUGUGUUUUUUAAAAUACAGUAUGAUAACCAUGUUUGUCCAUGCUUUGAAUCAAUUUGAUAUUCUUAAAAUUCAUGAAAUAUUUAAAUUAGUUCCUUACAAAUAUUCAAGAGGAUACAUGAAACCACAGCAGCCCAUCAUUGACAUUGCAAAUGCAUCAAAAACAUUUAUGUAUUAGAUACUCUUCCUUAAAAUUUUAAGUCUUAUUAAUUCAAAUGUAAUGAA